CUGUAAUGUAUGCUUGUAAUGAGGGACAUACAGGAAUAGUAAGGAUGUUGUUAGACAUAGGAGCAGAUUAUAAUAAUUGUAACAAUGAAGGCAAGUCAACUGUCAUAAUUGCUUCUGAAAGAGGUCAUAGUGAUAUAGUUAAUGUGAUAAAUGAACAUUCCAGGGACAAAACAGGUGCUCCAAUGAUUCUGGUUGAUUGUUUAUUAAAGUCAUGACUGGUAAACAUAGGCAACAAAACAAUUAGAAGCUAAAUUUGUCAAUUAACAAUCACUGAAUGAUAUAUGAUUAUACGUUAUGGAUUUAUAAUAAAAACAUAGAGGACUUAGUAUAGUAUAUAUGUGUGCAUAGAGGACUUAGUAUAGUAUAUAUGUGUGCAUAGAGGACUUACUAUAGUAUAUAUGUGUGCAUUGUGUGCAUAGAGGACUUAGUAUAGUAUAUAUGUGUGCAUAGAAGACUUAGUGUAGUAUAUAUGUGUGCAUAAAGGAAUUAGUAUAGUAUAUAUGUGUGCAUAGAGGACUUAGUAUAGUAUAUAUGUGUGCAUAGAGGACUUAGUAUAGUAUAUAUGUGUGCAUAGAGGACUUAGUAUAGUAUAUAUGUGUGCAUAGAGGACUUAGUAUAGUUUAUAUGGACGCCUCCGGGUGCGGGAAUUUCUCGCUGCAUUGAAGACCUGUUGGUGACCUUCUGCUGUUGUCUGUUCUAUGGUCGGGUUGUUGUCUCUUUGACACAUUCCCCUUUUCCAUUCUCAAUUUUAUUUAUAUGUGUGCAUAAAGGAAUUAGUAUAGUAUAUAUGUGUGCAUAGAGGACUUAGUAUAGUAUAUAUGUGUGCAUAGAGGACUUAGUAUAGUAUAUAUGUGUGCAUAGAGGACUUAGUAUAGUUUAAAUGUGUGCAUAGAGGACUUAGUAUAGUAUAUAUGUGUGCAUAGAGGACUUAGUAUAGUAUAUAUGUGUGCAUAGAGGACUUAGUAUAGUAUAUAUGUGUGCAUAGAGGACUAAGUAUAGUAUAUAUGUGUGCAUUGUGUGCAUAAAGGACUUAGUAUAGUAUAUAUGUGUGCAUAAAGGACUUAGUAUAGUAUAUAUGUGUGCAUAGAGGACUUAGUAUAGUAUAUAUGUGUGCAUAGAGGACUUAGUAUAGUAUAUAUGUGUGCAUAGAGGACUUAGUAUAGUAUAUAUGUGUGCAUAGAGGACUUAGUAUAGUAUAUAUGUGUGCAUAGAGGACUUAGUAUAGUAUAUAUGUGUGCAUAAAGGAAUUAGUAUAGUAUAUAUGUGUGCAUAGAAGACUUAGUAUAGUAUAUGUGUGUGCAUAGAGGACUUAGUAUAGUAUAUAUGUGUGCAUAGAGGACUUAGUAUAGUAUAUAUGUGUGCAUAGAGGACUAAGUAUAGUAUAUAUGUGUGCAUUGUGUGCAUAAAGGACUUAGUAUAGUAUAUAUGUGUGCAUAGAGGACUUAGUAUAGUAUAUAUGUGUGCAUAGAGGACUUAGUAUAGUAUAUAUGUGUGCAUAGAGGACUUAGUAUAGUAUAUAUGUGUGCAUAGAGGACUUAGUAUAGUAUAUAUGUGUGCAUAGAGGACUUAGUAUAGUAUAUAUGUGUGCAUAAAGGAAUUAGUAUAGUAUAUAUGUGUGCAUAGAAGACUUAGUAUAGUAUAUAUGUGUGCAUUGUGUGCAUAGAGGACUUAGUAUAGUAUAUAUGUGUGCAUAGAGGACUUAGUAUAGUAUAUAUGUGUGCAUAGAGGACUUAGUAUAAUAAAUAUGUGUGCAUUAAUUCAAUAAUUUCCUGAACAUGCUUAAUAUUAUAAUUACAAGAGACUCGUUUCAGAUAACUUUAAGUCCCUGCACUAAUUUUCUAGAAAUAUAAAGUUGGAAAAUUUACCAAUUUUUAUACAGUUUUUUUAGGGGAGAAUCAAUCUUUUGACAAUGAAGAAAAUCUGUUGAAAUUCAUUACCACUGACAAAUGUUUGGGGACGGGGGAAAUUAUCAUGAUUAUUCAAAUGACUUGCAUUUAGGUAAAUAAAGAUAAAAAUUGGGUACUCAGUUUUGGUUAUCUUUUCAUAAAAUAUUGUAAAGUGUUGUUGAUUUUUGUCGAGCCUUCGACUUUUGUCGAAAAAGUGAGACAUAGCGAUCCUACAUUCCGUCGGCGUCGUCGUCGUCGUCGUUGUCGUCGGCGGCGUCCACAAAUAUUCACUCUGUGGUUAAAGUUUUUGAAAUUUUAAUAACUUUCAUAAACUAUCCUGGAUUUCUACCAAACUUGGACAGAAGCUUGUUUAUGAUCAUAAGAUAAUAUUCAAAAGUAAAUUUUGUAAAAAAAAAAUUCCAUUUUUUCCGUAUUUUACUUAUAAAUGGACUUAGUUUUUCUGCCAGGAAACAUGACAUUCACUCUGUGGUUAAAGUUUUUGAAAUUUUAAUAACUUUCUUAAACUAUCCUGGAUUUCUACUAAAUUUGGAAAGAAGCUUGUUUAUGAUCAUAAGAUAGUAUCCAGAAGUAAAUUUUGUAAAAAAAAAAAUUCCAUUUUUUCCGUAUUUUACUUAUAAAUGGACUUAGUUUUUCUGCCAGUUAACAUUACAUUCACUCUGUGGUUAAAGUUUUUAAAAUUUUAACAACUUUCUUAAACUAUCCUGGAUUUGUACCAAACUUGGAAAGAAGCUUGUUUAUGAUCAUAAGAUAGUAUCCAGAAGUAAAUCUUGUAAAAAAAAAAUUCCAUUUUUUCCGUAUUUUACUUAUAAAUGGACUUAGUUUUUCUGCCAGUUAACAUUACAUUCACUCUGUGGUUAAAGUUUUUAAAAUUUUAACAACUUUCUUAAACUAUCCUGGAUUUGUACCAAACUUCGACAGAAGCUUGUUUAUGAUUAAAAGCUAGUAUCUAGAAUGAAAUUUUGUUAAAAUUUUGUUCCAUUUUUUCCGUAUUUUACUUAUAAAUGGACUUAGUUUUUCUUCCAGUUAACAUUACAUACAGUCUGCAGUUUAAGUUUUUAAAACAUUUAUUAGAUUCAUAAACUAUCCUGGAUUUUUACCAAACUUGGACAGAAGCUACUUACAAUCAAAAGAUAGUAUAGAGAGGAAUAUUUUUAUUAAUUUUUUUUCCUUAUUUUUGUUGAGCCUGCGAUUAACAGCAAAAGUAGGCGAGACACUGGGUUCCGCGGAACCCUUACGAAUUUUUAGUAUUAUCAUGAUAACCAGUUUUGUUAUUACACCCUAAAUUUAACACUAUUUAUUUCAAUAAUGUUAUAAGAUAUGUUUGAAUAAAGCAAGAAUCAGUGAGAAAAAGUAUAGAUAAUGCAGCAAAUUCUAAUGCAAUUAUUUUGUAUCAAUGGUUCUGAUUGGAUGACAAUAAGCGUAAAAUUCUCUAUCUCCCUGUCUGUAACUAAGGAAGCCGACAUUUUGAAUUCCGGAAUGUAUUGACAUGUAAUUUCUCCAAUAAUAAGCCAAAAAACUCACAUUUUGCACCUAGAAAUCUUCUUUUUAUCAAAUUUUAUUACAUUCUGAAGCGGAAAAGAUGCCAGAAAACGCCCGGUGUUUACGUUUGAUGCUGGAAGCAUACUUAUGACGUCACCUAGUUUAGGCGCCAAAGAAGAUAACAUCAUUUCGCGGAAUUUAAGUUUAAUGAACAUUUACACUAUAAUAAUGACUAAAAUUGAAUGAUUUGUUUAUUUUGCAUUAGAAUAGAGAUAACUGUUAUGUAUUUGAAGCUUUGCGGAUGUCCAUCAGUAGUUUUACUGUCGCAAAUAACCGUUUACCUGUCUCUGCUACCCGUCGCCAGGUAGACUAAGUUUGCGACAGUAAUACUACUGAUGGACGUCUGCAAAGCUUCAAAUACAAUACAGUUAUCUCUAAAUUAACAGUGCCUGGUUAUGAUUCAUAGCUUGACCUUCUUCAGAGGUAGAAUGGUGGAUUGAUAGUGGCACUCUAUUUAUAUAGUGUCUGAAAGUUAUCUGUUACUGGAUAAUUAUUGGUUAUCCGUAACCGGAUAAUUAUAUGUUACUGUAAAUUCAGAAAUUAUUGCGUGCAUUUAUUGUUGCGAUUUAUGAAGAAUGGACAAUAAUGCGAGAUUAGUUAUUGCGAUUUCAGGAAAUUCUGCAUACAGAUGCAUAUAUCAGAUAUCAGAAUGCAAGUUCUAAUUAUUGCGAUACUAACCCAGUCGCACUAUUCGCAUUAAUAAAAACCUCACAAUAAUUUUUGAAUUUACAGUAUCUGGUUUUGGAUAAUUUUUAUCUAUUCAGUUAAACAUCCGGUGGUAUUUUCAUUAGUUACUGUAAGCUUCUUUCAACUUUUCAUCAGUUAAGGUCAACUUCUUUCUACUUUUCAUCAGUUAUGGUCAACUUCUUUCAACUUUUCAUCAGUUAAGGUCAACUUCUUUCAACUUUUCAUCAGUUAAGGUCAACUUCUUUCUACUUUUCAUCAGUUAAGGUCAACUUCUUUCUACUUUUCAUCAGUUAUGGUCAACUUCUUUCAACUUUUCAUCAGUUAAGGUCAACUUCUUUCAACUUUUCAUCAGUUAUGUUCAACUUCUUUCAUUUUUUCAUCAGUUAUGGUCAACUUCUUUUCAUCAGUUAAGGUCAACUUCUUUCAACUUUUCAUCAGUUAAGGUCAACUUCUUUCUACUUUUCAUCAGUUAAGGUCAACUUCUUUCUACUUUUCAUCAGUUAAGGUCAACUUCUUUCUACUUUUCAUCAGUGAUGGUCAACUUCUUUCAACUUUUCAUCAGUUAAGGUCAACUUCUUUCAACUUUUCAUCAGUUAAGGUCAAAUUCUUUCUACUUUUCAUCAGUUAUGGUCAACUUCUUUCAACUUUUCAUCAGUUAUGUUCAACUUCUUUCAUUUUUUCAUCAGUUAUGGUCAACUUCUUUUCAUCAGUUAAGGUCAACUUCUUUCAACUUUUCAUCAGUUAAGGUCAACUUCAUUCAACUUUUCAUCAGUUAAGGUCAACUUCUUUCUACUUUUCAUCAGUUAAGGUCAACUUCUUUCUACUUUUCAUCAGUUAAGGUCAACUUCUUUCUACUUUUCAUCAGUUAUGGUCAACUUCUUUCAACUUUUCAUCAGUUAAGGUCAACUUCUUUCUACUUUUCAUCAGUUAAGGUCAACUUCUUUCUACUUUUCAUCAGUUAAGGUCAACUUCUUUCUACUUUUCAUCAGUUAUGGUCAACUUCUUUCAACUUUAAGAAACAUAAUAUAAGCCAGGAGCUCCUAUCACAAAAAAUCUUUAGAGUAAAAAUACUCGUAAGUCAUUCACAUUUCAGUUUAACUUGCGAUCAAUUUUUAUCGUAAGAUUUUUUGUGGAAAGAGUCACAGUUUUUAUACGACCGCAAAAAAUUUUUUGGGAUCGUAUAAUGGUAUAAUGUCGUCGUCCGAAGACACAUUGGUUUCCGGACAAUAACUUUAGUUUAAGUGAAUGGAUCUCUAUGAAAUUUUUUAAGAAGGUUCAAUACCACAAAAUGAAAGUUGGGAUUGAUUUUGGGGAUGAUGGUCCCAACUGUUUAGGAAUUAGGGGCCCAAAACAAGCAUUUUUCUAGUUUAAGGAUAAUAACUUGUGUAUAAGUGUUCCGAUUGCUCUGAAAUUGUACGACAAUGUUUAAUACCGGAAGUAGAAGGUUGGGAUUUAUUUUAGUGGUUAUGGGGCCAACAGUUUAGGAAUUAAGGGCCAAAAACAAGCAUUUUUCUAUUUUCUAGACAAUAACUUGUGUGUAAGUGUAUGGAUCUCUCUGACAUUGUACCACAAGGUUCCAUAUCACAAAGGGAAGGCUAGGAUUGAGUUUGGGGUUAAUUGCGCAAAUAUGUAGGAAUAAGGGGCAAAAAAAGGGCCAAAAACAAGCAUUUUUCUAGUUUCCAGAAAAUAACUUGUGUUUAAGUCUAUGGAUCUCUCUGAAAUUGUACUACAAGGUUCCAUACUACAAAGGAAAGGCUGGGAUCGAGUUUUUUUUUUGGGGAGGGGGGGGGGGGGUCAAUUCGCAACAGCAUAGUGUAUUGCACAAAGGCAAAAAAAUGAAUAUAAAUUCAAAUCAUAUAACCAAUUCUAAGUUCUUUGACUACAGUUAUUCUGUGUCAGAAACCUAUUAUGUGUCAAAUAUUUAAUUACAAUCCAAAUUCAGACCUGUUUCAAGCGCGAAUAUUGUGUCCAUUUUUGCCCCAACUGUUCAGGGUUGGACCUCUGCGGUCGUAUCCAGCUGCGCUCGGCGAAGCAAUUUAUUGUUAGGUGUUUUUCUGCUUUAUAUAGAUCUGAUGAGGUAAGCCCUUUUCAUCUGAUUAUUAUAGACUAUUAGUUUGUUCUUAUGUUGUACUUUUACACCACUAUCCAAGGUUUUGGGGACGGUUUAAUUUGGUGCCAACAAACAAGUUAAAUCAAGCCAUAUUCAGUAUGUGCCUGUCCCAUGCCCGGAGUCUGUAAUUCAGUGGUUGUUGUUUGUUGCUGUAUAUCAUAUUUGUUUUUAUACGACCGCAAAAAAUAUUUUGCGUCUUACAAUGCUAUGAUGUUGUCGUCCGAAGACACAUUUGGUUUCCGGACAAUAACUUAAGUUGAAGUGAAUGGAUCUCUAAGAAAUUUUACCAGAAGGUUCAAUACCACAAAAGGAAGGUUGGGAUUGAUUUUGGGGGUUAUGGUACCAACAGUUUAGGAAUGAGGGGCCAAAAAGAAGCAUUUUUGUAGUUUCCGGACAAUAACUUGUGUGUAAGUGUAUGGAUAUCUCUGAAAUUGUACCACAAGGUUCCAUAUCACAAAGGGAAGGCUGGGAUUGAGUUUGGGGGUAAUUACCCCAAAUGUUCAGGAAUUAGGGCAAAAAAGGGGCCAAAAACAAGCAUUUUUCUAGUUUCCAGAUAAUAACUUGUGUUUAAGUGUAUGGAUCUCUCUAAAAUUGUACUACAAGGUUCCAUACCAUAAAGGAAAGGCUGGGAUUGAG